rnacentral:rRNA from 1 species
GCCUGCGGAGGGAUCAUUACACAAAUAUGAAGGCGGGCUGGAACCUCUCGGGGUUACAGCCUUGCUGAAUUAUUCACCCUUGUCUUUUGCGUACUUCUUGUUUCCUUGGUGGGUUCGCCCACCACUAGGACAAACAUAAACCUUUUGUAAUUGCAAUCAGCGUCAGUAACAAAUUAAUAAUUACAACUUUCAACAACGGAUCUCUUGGUUCUGGCAUCGAUGAAGAACGCAGCGAAAUGCGAUAAGUAGUGUGAAUUGCAGAAUUCAGUGAAUCAUCGAAUCUUUGAACGCACAUUGCGCCCUUUGGUAUUCCAAAGGGCAUGCCUGUUCGAGCGUCAUUUGUACCCCCAAGCUUUGCUUGGUGUUGGGCGUCUUGUCUCUAGCUUUGCUGGAGACUCGCCUUAAAGUAAUUGGCAGCCGGCCUACUGGUUUCGGAGCGCAGCACAAGUCGCACUCUCUAUCAGCAAAGGUCUAGCAUCCAUUAAGCCUUUUUUUCAACUUUUGACCUCGGAUCAGGUAGGGAUACCCGCUGAACUUAAGCAUAUCA